rnacentral:rRNA from 1 species
GACUCUCGGCAACAGAUAUCUCGGCUCUCGCAUCGAUGAAGAACGUAGCGAAAUGCGUUACUUGGUGUGAAUUGCAGAAUCCCACGAACCAUCGAGUCUUUGAACACAAGUUGCACCCGAAGCCGUUGAAGCCAAGGGCACGUCUGCCUGGGCGUCA